UACGUAGGGGGCAAGCGUUGUUCGGAAUUACUGGGCGUAAAGCGCACGCAGGCGGCUCGAUAAAUUAGAAGUGAAAGCCCCGGGCUUAACCUGGGAAUUGCUUUUAAGACUGUCGGGCUAGAAUCCAGAAGAGGGUAGUGGAAUUCCGAGUGUAGAGGUGAAAUUCGUAGAUAUUCGGAAGAACACCAGUGGCGAAGGCGACUACCUGGUCUGGCAUUGACGCUCAUGUGCGAAAGCGUGGGGAGCAAACAGG
rnacentral:rRNA from 1 species